rnacentral:rRNA from 1 species
GUAGUCCAUGCCGUAAACGUUGGGCACUAGGUGUGGGGGACAUUCCACGUUUUCCGCGCCGUAGCUAACGCAUUAAGUGCCCCGCCUGGGGAGUACGGCCGCAAGGCUAAAACUCAAAGGAAUUGACGGGGGCCCGCACAAGCGGCGGAGCAUGCGGAUUAAUUCGAUGCAACGCGAAGAACCUUACCAAGGCUUGACAUAUACCGGAUCGUUCCAGAGAUGGUUCUUCCCCUUUGGGGUCGGUAUACAGGUGGUGCAUGGUUGUCGUCAGCUCGUGUCGUGAGAUGUUGGGUUAAGUCCCGCAACGAGCGCAACCCUCGUUCCAUGUUGCCAGCACGUGAUGGUGGGGACUCAUGGGAGACUGCCGGGGUCAACUCGGA